rnacentral:lncRNA from 1 species
CCUGGAUCCAGCAGCAGAUUGGGGACAACACAGCUUCUGUCAUCUGCUUGCCCAGAGCCUGAAUGCCAUGCAGAGGUAUGGUGCCCUCGGGGAGCAGUAUGGAACCUAUUCUCCUUUGUGGGAGAGGUGGAACCAACUGUGACUUCAUGUAGUUGAGAGCAAGUAUGGUCUGAAGAAGGUCUGAAGAAGAAGGACCCAUGGCAUCCUUUAUUGAGUGUGGUCCAAAUGGAGAAACUCAACUGACGAAAUCCCUGGUACCUGGGCAAACAGCCUCUGCUUAUACAUGAUCAACGGUAUGGAAUUAUUUACCUUUCAAGGAAAUCCAUUUUACUUUUCAAUAAUUCUUUUUAAAAAUAUUUAU